rnacentral:rRNA from 1 species
CGUUCUGUAAGCCUGUGAAGGUGGCCUGUGAGGGUUGCUGGAGGUAUCAGAAGUGCGAAUGCUGACAUAAGUAACGAUAAAGCGGGUGAAAAGCCCGCUCGCCGGAAGACCAAGGGUUCCUGUCCAACGUUAAUCGGGGCAGGGUGAGUCGACCCCUAAGGCGAGGCCGAAAGGCGUAGUCGAUGGGAAACGGGUUAAUAUUCCCGUACUUGGUGUUACUGCGAAGGGGGGACGGAGAAGGCUAUGUUGGCCGGGCGACGGUUGUCCCGGUUUAAGCGUGUAGGUGUGUGUUCCAGGUAAAUCCGGUUCACUUUAACACUGAGGCGUGACGACGAGGCACUACGGUGCUGAAGCAACAAAUGCCCUGCUUCCAGGAAAAGCCUCUAAGCAUCAGGUAACAUCAAAUCGUACCCCAAACCGACACAGGUGGUCAGGUAGAGAAUACCAAGGCGCUUGAGAGAACUCGGGUGAAGGAACUAGGCAAAAUGGUGCCGUAACUUCGGGAGAAGGCACGCUGACACGUAGGUGAAGUGAUUUACUCAUGGAGCUGAAGUCAGUCGAAGAUACCAGCUGGCUGCAACUGUUUAUUAAAAACACAGCACUGUGCAAACACGAAAGUGGACGUAUACGGUGUGACGCCUGCCCGGUGCCGGAAGGUUAAUUGAUGGGGUCAGCGCAAGCGAAGCUCCUGAUCGAAGCCCCGGUAAACGGCGGCCGUAACUAUAACGGUCCUAAGGUAGCGAAAUUCCUUGUCGGGUAAGUUCCGACCUGCACGAAUGGCGUAAUGAUGGCCAGGCUGUCUCCACCCGAGACUCAGUGAAAUUGAACUCGCUGUGAAGAUGCAGUGUACCCGCGGCAAGACGGAAAGACCCCGUGAACCUUUACUAUAGCUUGACACUGAACAUUGAGCCUUGAUGUGUAGGAUAGGUGGGAGGCUUUGAAGCGUGGACGCCAGUCUGCGUGGAGCCGACCUUGAAAUACCACCCUUUAAUGUUUGAUGUUCUAACGUGGACCCGUUACCCGGGUUGCGGACAGUGUCUGGUGGGUAGUUUGACUGGGGCGGUCUCCUCCUAAAGAGUAACGGAGGAGCACGAAGGUUGGCUAAUCCUGGUCGGACAUCAGGAGGUUAGUGCAAUGGCAUAAGCCAGCUUGACUGCGAGCGUGACGGCGCGAGCAGGUGCGAAAGCAGGUCAUAGUGAUCCGGUGGUUCUGAAUGGAAGGGCCAUCGCUCAACGGAUAAAAGGUACUCCGGGGAUAACAGGCUGAUACCGCCCAAGAGUUCAUAUCGACGGCGGUGUUUGGCACCUCGAUGUCGGCUCAUCACAUCCUGGGGCUGAAGUAGGUCCCAAGGGUAUGGCUGUUCGCCAUUUAAAGUGGUACGCGAGCUGGGUUUAGAACGUCGUGAGACAGUUCGGUCCCUAUCUGCCGUGGGCGCUGGAGAACUGAGGGGGGCUGCUCCUAGUACGAGAGGACCGGAGUGGACGCAUCACUGGUGUUCGGGUUGUCAUGCCAAUGGCACUGCCCGGUAGCUAAAUGCGGAAGAGAUAAGUGCUGAAAGCAUCUAAGCACGAAACUUGCCCCGAGAUGAGUUCUCCCUGAGACUUAGAGUCUCCUGAAGGAACGUUGAAGACGACGACGUUGAUAGGCCGGGUGUGUAAGCGCAGCGAUGCGUUGAGCUAAC